AUCAAAUGGAGAGUUUGAUCCUGGCUCAGGAUGAAC
rnacentral:rRNA from 1 species